AGCGAACGCUGGCGGCAGGCCUAAUACAUGCAAGUCGAACGAACCCUUCGGGGUGAGUGGCGGACGGGUGAGUAACACGUGGGAACGUACCCUUUGGUUCGGAACAACUCAGGGAAACUUGAGCUAAUACCGGAUAAGCCCCCAUCGUAAGGUGGGUGGGAAAGAUUUAUCGCCGUUGGAGCGGCCCGCGUCUGAUUAGCUAGUUGGUGGGGUAAAGGCCUACCAAGGCUACGAUCAGUAGCUGGUCUGAGAGGAUGAUCAGCCACACUGGGACUGA
rnacentral:rRNA from 1 species